rnacentral:rRNA from 1 species
AWRRGCCKAMRUYGMUGCUCCGGCCGCCAUGGCGGCCGCGGGAAUUCGAUUAGAGUUUGAUCCUGGCUCAGGAUGAACGCUAGCGGCAGGCCUAAUACAUGCAAGUCGGACGGGAUUGGAGAGCUUGCUUUCCAUGAGAGUGGCGCACGGGUGCGUAACACGUAUGUAACCUACCUUCACCAGGGGGAUAGCCUCUCGAAAGAGAGAUUAAGACCGCAUAACAUUAUUGAAUAGCAUUAUUUAAUAAUCAAAUAUUUAUAGGGUGAGGAUGGGCAUGCGGAACAUUAGCUAGUUGGUAAGGUAACGGCUUACCAAGGCUACGAUGUUUAGGGGAUCUGAGAGGAUGACCCCCCACACUGGUACUGAGACACGGACCAGACUCCUACGGGAGGCAGCAGUAAGGAAUAUUGGUCAAUGGGCGGAAGCCUGAACCAGCCAUGCCGCGUGCAGGAAGACGGCCCUACGGGUUGUAAACUGCUUUUGUACCGGAAUAAACCUAUCUACGCGUAGAUAGCUGAAUGUACGGUAAGAAUAAGGAUCGGCUAACUCCGUGCCAGCAGCCGCGGUAAUACGGAGGAUCCAAGCGUUAUCCGGAUUUAUUGGGUUUAAAGGGUGCGUAGGCGGCCUGUUAAGUCAGGGGUGAAAGACGGUAGCUCAACUAUCGCAGUGCCCUUGAUACUGAUGGGCUUGAAUGUACUUGAGGUAGGCGGAAUGUGACAAGUAGCGGUGAAAUGCAUAGAUAUGUCACAGAACACCAAUUGCGAAGGCAGCUUACUAAAGUAUGAUUGACGCUGAGGCACGAAAGCGUGGGGAUCAAACAGGAUUAGAUACCCUGGUAGUCCACGCCCUAAACGAUGAACACUCGAUGUUGGCGAUAUACGGUCAGCGUCUAAGCGAAAGCGUUAAGUGUUCCACCUGGGGAGUACGCCCGCAAGGGUGAAACUCAAAGGAAUUGACGGGGCCCGCACAAGCGGAGGAGCAUGUGGUUUAAUUCGAUGAUACGCGAGGAACCUUACCCGGGCUUGAAAGUUAGUGAAUGUGGCAGAGACGCCACAGUUCUUCGGAMACGAAACUAGUGCUGCAUGGCUGUCGUCAGCUCGUGCGKGAGGKKGUUGGGUUAGUCCGCACGAGCGCACCCCUWUGUUAGUGCAGCAUUUAGGKGGGACUCUAAMGACUGCUAUGCAAWAGAGARGAAGAGACGACGUCAGUCAUCAUGCUASUCGGGCUMCACGGUGCUCAAUGGARUGGUCAGRAGGGCMGCYWCCUGUG